UGUCCAGACUCCUACGGGAGGCAGCAGUGGGGAAUAUUGGGCAAUGGGCGCAAGCCUGACCCAGCAAUGCCGCGUGAAGGAAGAAGGCUUUCGGGUUGUAAACUUCUUUGACAGGGGAAGAGCAGAAGACGGUACCCUGAAAACAAGCCACGGCUAACUACGUGCCAGCAGCCGCGGUAAUACGUAGGUGGCAAGCGUUGUCCGGAUUUACUGGGUGUAAAGGGCGUGUAGCCGGGAAGGCAAGUCAGAUGUGAAAGCCCGGGGCUCAACCCCGGGACUGCAUUUGAAACUGUCAGGCUGGAGUGCAGGAGAGGUAAGUGGAAUUCCUAGUGUAGCGGUGAAAUGCGUAGAUAUUAGGAGGAACACCAGUGGCGAAGGCGGCUUACUGGACUGUAACUGACGUUGAGGCUCGAAAGCGUGGGGAGCAAACAGGAUUAGAUACCCCAGUAGU
rnacentral:rRNA from 1 species